rnacentral:rRNA from 1 species
AUGAACGCUGGCGGCGUGCCUCAUCCCUGCAAGUCGAGCGAACAGACGAGGAGCUUGCUCCUCUGACGUUAGCGGCGGACGGGUGAGUAACACGUGGAUAACCUACCUAUAAGACUGGGAUAACUUCGGGAAACCGGAGCUAAUACCGGAUAAUAUAUUGAACCGCAUGGUUCAAUAGUGAAAGACGGUUUUGCUGUCACUUAUAGAUGGAUCCGCGCCGCAUUAGCUAGUUGGUAAGGUAACGGCUUACCAAGGCGACGAUGCGUAGCCGACCUGAGAGGGUGAUCGGCCACACUGGAACUGAGACACGGUCCAGACUCCUACGGGAGGCAGCAGUAGGGAAUCUUCCGCAAUGGGCGAAAGCCUGACGGAGCAACGCCGCGUGAGUGAUGAAGGUCUUCGGAUCGUAAAACUCUGUUAUUAGGGAAGAACAAAUGUGUAAGUAACUAUGCACGUCUUGACGGUACCUAAUCAGAAAGCCACGGCUAACUACGUG